rfam:Nematostella vectensis strain CH2 x CH6 NEMVEscaffold_161_Cont16368, whole genome shotgun sequence.
GGGGAUGUAGCUCAGUGGUAGAGCGUCUUCUUCGCAUGCGGUAGGCCCGGGUUUCGAUCCCCUGCAUCUCCA